UACGUAGGGACCAAGCGUUGUUCGGAUUUACUGGGCGUAAAGGGCGCGUAGGCGGCUUGACAAGACACUUGUGAAAUCUCCGGGCUUAACUCGGAACGGCCAAGUGAAACUGUCAUGCUAGAGUGCAGAAGGGGCAAUCGGAAUUCUUGGUGUAGCGGUGAAAUGCGUAGAUAUCAAGAGGAACACCUGAGGUGAAGACGGGUUGCUGGGCUGACACUGACGCUGAGGCGCGAAAGCCAGGGGAGCAAACGGG
rnacentral:rRNA from 1 species